rnacentral:lncRNA from 1 species
UGGACUUGCUCCUUUCUAGGACUGCAGAGAUAGCAGCAGCCCUUGCCUUGGUUUUAGGAGUGUCUGACAAAAAGACACCAGGGUUGAGAGUGAAGGAUGAAUGAUGUGCUUGUUCCUUUACUUGUUUUCUUUCAUUUCAGAUUGUUGAGCUGGUCACCAGGUUCAUCUGCUCCUGCUCUCAGACCCAGGCUUGUGCAACCAGAGAUUAUGUGGGAGUCCGCACAGACAGGAGCUGUGCUGCAGCAGUUUGAGGCACUGCUACUUUGGUUGUCUAUCUCAUUCAUACACUGACAUCCAGCUGGAUCAGGAAAAAGCUCUGCAUGAGAGGUUUUUAAGUCCUGCUGUGGAAUAUUUUCAUACCUCACCUCUUUACAGCCCUUGGUGGAAAGGAAAAGAGACACCAGGAGAGGUACAAUAAAUAAUGCUAACAUCAGUUGGGAGGGGGUGGU